rnacentral:lncRNA from 1 species
CUUAAUUGCAAAUCCUCUCUGCAGAGCUAAAGGCCAUGGUGGAACUCUCCGAAGCUGGCAGGAAACAUCCCUUGCCUCAGACAGGAUCAUCCUAAUUAAUAAUAAUCACAAUAAUAUUGUGCUUUGCAUUUUAUCCAGGGACACCUGAACAGCCGAAUGCUUUAUGAACACUAUUUAAUUAAGCCUUAUGACAAUCCCGUGAGGAGAACCUGGAAACUGAAAGAUUGGUUUAAUCUCUGCAUAGCCACAAGAACGAGACUCAAUUAAGUAAAGCAAAUGAUCACAUUCAUUGUCAAUGCCAAGCCCACCUGGUUCCAUCCUAUCAAAGUGGUCAGAGACUCAAGGUCUAGCUGGAGAAAGCUAUUCCAGAUUCAUCCAGGGCAAUUCCACUCUUGCCCAAGAGGCUGUCCUAUCAGAUCAUAGAGCCAUCAAGCAAAGCCUCACAUGCAUAGGCCCAGAUGGAAGGGCAUCCCAGACUGGAAGGCCUGAUAGGAAUUUGCUCUGGCCUAGCUGGAAGCUGUAGGUGUUCAUCACGUAGGCACACAUUGGAAUGGAGGAUACACUCUACAAAGGCUUCUAAUUGGUAAGUUGGAAGGGAAUCCACUUGAUAAAGGAGAGGCAAGUUGGUGGGGGCUCUCUUGCCUGAAAUGCCUCAGAAAGGUCUUGAAGGGAAGCCCAGGUGGCUCAGUGGUUU